GCUCAGAAACUACAAGGAAUUCGACGGGGGCCCGCACAAGCGGUGGAGCAUGUGGUUUAAUUCGAUGGUACGCGAGGAACCUUACCUGGUUUGACAUACAGGGGAUGUGGCAGCGAUGUCACAGACUGGAAACAGUACCCUGUACAGGUGCUGCAUGGCUGUCGUCAGCUCGUGCCGUGAGGUGUUGGGUUAAGUCCCGCAACGAGCGCAACCCUACUGCCAGUUACUAACAGGUAACGCUGAGGACUCUGGCGGAACUGCCGGUGACAAACCGGAGGAAGGUGGGGAUGACGUCAAGUCAUCAUGGCCCCUAUGUCCAGGGCUACACACGUGCUACAAUGGGCGAUACAGAGUGACGCGAAGCCGCGAGGUGGAGCAAAUCGCAGAAAAUCGCUCUCAGUUCGGAUUGGAGUCUGAAACCCGACUCCAUGAAGGUGGAAUCGCUAGUAAUCGCGCAUCAGCAUGGCGCGGUGAAUACGUUCCCGGGCCUU
rnacentral:rRNA from 1 species